AGCAGCGUGGCUCAGUGGAAAGAGCACGGGCCUGGGAGUCAGAGGUCGUGGGUUCAAAUCCCGGCUCUGCCA
rnacentral:tRNA from 1 species